UACGGAGGGGGCUAGCGUUGUUCGGAAUUACUGGGCGUAAAGCGCGCGUAGGCGGACCUGCAAGUCGGGGGUGAAAGCCCGAGGCUCAACCUCGGAACUGCCUUCGAUACUGUUAGUCUUGAGUCCGGGAGAGGUGAGUGGAAUUCCUAGUGUAGAGGUGAAAUUCGUAGAUAUUAGGAAGAACACCAGUGGCGAAGGCGGCUCACUGGCCCGGUACUGACGCUCAUGUGCGAAAGCGUGGGGAGCAAACAGGG
rnacentral:rRNA from 1 species